rnacentral:rRNA from 1 species
ACACGACUCUCGGCAAUGGAUAUCUCGGCUCUCGCAUCGAUGAAGAGCGCAGCGAAAUGCGAUACGUGGUGCGAAUUGCAGAAUCCCGUGAACCAUCGAGUCUUUGAACGCAAGUUGCGCCCGAGGCCAACCGGCCAAGGGCACGUCUGCCUGGGCGUCAAGC